rnacentral:lncRNA from 1 species
UCUCGACUUAAACUCCUCACAAAAUGAACCAUUUUGCUUGUUUUCUAUGGAAAAGUAAGUAUGUAACUUUAGUUUUCUUACACUAAAAAGUGAACUUGGAGAUGUCUUAUUAGUUGUGAUUUGGAAAAAAGUGAUGCUCUGGAGUAGUUAAAGUGAAAUCUUUUGUUAUGGAGAUGUAGUAUUUACUUUUUGUUUGCUUGUUCUUGGUUUUUGGAUUUGUUUGGGGUUUUCUUGCUAGUUUUCUGCUAGAUUCUUUGAAUGAAAUAUUCCUUGUUGUUCUUUGAGGUCAGAAGUACUCCAUAUGAACACCGAUAGCGCUUAAGAAACCAUUAUUCUUGCCAUGAAAACCAACUACUUUCCCAGAAGAUGCUGGUGAACUAUAAGAAACAUACCCUGCACUCCCUUCUUCUCCAUAAGGGCCAUGGAUCCUCAAAUUUGUAUGAAAUUUAAUAGAGAGUACAGCUUCCAACCCAUCAAACCCUUUA